rnacentral:rRNA from 1 species
UACCAACCCGAUGCAAACUGCGAAUACCGGAGAAUGUUAUCACGGGAGACACACGGCGGGUGCUAACGUCCGUCGUGAAGAGGGAAACAACCCAGACCGCCAGCUAAGGUCCCAAAGUCAUGGUUAAGUGGGAAACGAUGUGGGAAGGCCCAGACAGCCAGGAUGUUGGCUUAGAAGCAGCCAUCAUUUAAAGAAAGCGUAAUAGCUCACUGGUCGAGUCGGCCUGCGCGGAAGAUGUAACGGGGCUAAACCAUG